UACGGAGGGUGCAAGCGUUAUCCGGAUUCACUGGGUUUAAAGGGUGCGUAGGAGGGCAGGUAAGUCAGUGGUGAAAUCUCCGAGCUUAACUUGGAAACUGCCGUUGAUACUAUCUGUCUUGAAUAUUGUGGAGGUGAGCGGAAUAUGUCAUGUAGCGGUGAAAUGCUUAGAUAUGACAUAGAACACCAAUUGCGAAGGCAGCUCGCUAGGCAUAUAUUGACGCUGAGGCACGAAAGCGUGGGGAUCAAACAGG
rnacentral:rRNA from 1 species